rnacentral:rRNA from 1 species
CUCUAGUGGCGGACGGGUGAGUAACACGUGAGAAUCUGCCCUUAGGAGGAGGAUAACAGCUGGAAACGGUUGCUAAUACUCCAUAUGCCGAGAGGUGAAAGGAUUUAUCCACCUAAGGAGGAGCUCGCGUCUGAUUAGCUAGUUGGUAGGGUAAAGGCCUACCAAGGCGACGAUCAGUAGCUGGUUUGAGAGGAUGAUCAGCCACACUGGGACUGAGACACGGCCCAGACUCCUACGGGAGGCAGCAGUAGGGAAUUUUCCGCAAUGGGCGAAAGCCUGACGGAGCAAUACCGCGUGAGGGAUGACGGCCUGUGGGUUGUAAACCUCUUUUCUCAAGGAAGAAGUUCUGACGGUACUUGAGGAAUAAGCAUCGGCUAACUCUGUGCCAGCAGCCGCGGUAAUACAGAGGAUGCAAGCGUUAUCCGGAAUCACUGGGCAUAAAGCGUCUGUAGGUUGUUUGGUAAGUCUGCUGUUAAAGACUGGGGCUCAACCCCAGAAAAGCAGUGGAAACUGCCGGACUUGAGUGUGGUAGAGGUAGAGGGAAUUCCUAGUGUAGCGGUGA